GCGGAGCUGAGCCCUUAUCGGUGGUCGGAACGGUCACUGUGCUGUGUGCGUUUUGUCACAGUGAAAGACGCCAGGGCAGGGCUGGGGCCCAGUGGUAGGGCGCCCCACUAGCGUGCGGGAGGCUCUGGCUUCAACCUGCAGCAGCACAAACACAAAUGAAUAACUAAAGCCCGGAGAAUCCCACGCCAGCCGCUGGGCCUUUGACCAAGAGCCAUUAUGGAGAGAAAGGACAAGAGCAGCCUGCACCCAAGGGAGUGUCCCAGAGGUUGAAAAGACGCACCCUGCAGAGCAGGAAGUGAUCGGAGAGGAAGACGCAGGAGGAGCAGGAGGUAUCACCUGGACUGGACGGGUGACAAGCCAGUCCAGCCCUCGAGGUCCCAGGAAAAUGCGUGCCAGACGGAGGAGUUCCACAACAGGGCUGGCUGCUGGUCCGAGGUGACAGACAGGCUUCCCUGCCAGGGCCUCGCACCUCUCACGACCCCUGAAUCCAGGUGCAUCAGCACACGGACGGUGGAGCUGUCCUGUCUCAGCCAGGUGGUGCCCUUGGAGCCCUCCCCAUGCUCCUGGGACGCAGCUGGGCGAGUCCUCCAGCCAUCUCGGUGGAUAGCAGGUCUGCCCUCGGGUCCAGCCUGGGACCUCCCUGUGCAGCCAGGUUGAGGGCAGACUGCCCAAGAGCCUGGAGGUGGAGGCAACUUGCUGUGACCAGCCCAUGCAGAUGCAGAGAGCCCUCGUCCCACGUGAGCACCUGCUGCCACUGUGGCCACACACCGCAGCAGGGGAGGCCGGGGACACUGAAGUCCCUAGCCUCGCCUGCACCAGUCCACGUUCCUCAUCUUAACACUGGGGCCUCGGGGGCCACUUGGUACCAACUGCCAUCAUGACUCCCGCAGGGCUGGCCCGCCAUGUGACUGGGUGCCAGGCCUCCCCGCAGCUCACACCUCUGCACUGAGCCUGUCCUGCCUCCGACACGGACGUCUGACUGUCACCUCCACUGAGCUCCCGCCACCUCCCCACACAGACUGCCCAGGCCUCCUGUGGGCCUGAGCCUCCUGCCCC